UUCGCCCAAUUCUCUCUAAAUAACGUUACUGUAUGGUCUCGCAUUGCGAUAAACAGGCCGAACUAACUUGCUUAGUUUGAUUUGUGAAUAAUUGUUAUAGAUAUUUUGGUAUCAUUCGCAUAUUUAUUUUAUAAUUAUCUUCUUCACUGGGAUUAAUUGCCAACAUGACUUACUGGAGACAAGCUGGUCUUUCCUACCUGAAAUUUUCUGCCAUCUGCGCACGGCAUGUAAGAGCAGCAGUAAAGAAAGAAUUUAAAACUGAUGCUGCUCAGAGACUUCCAAUUAAGCAAACAUUAUGGAAGGAAGGAAAACCUCUAAAGGCUGGUGAAGUAUAAAGUGAAAUGAAGAAAUAUAUGGACUUAAGAAAAUUAUUUAGAAAUAUGGUGAAGAAAUAUUUUCUUUUAAAUCUUCAAAACAAUUCAAUGAAAACACUUUUUUGUUCUAAAAUAUCUACAAUUCAAAAUUGUGUUCCUUCUUGCAUUCAGUAAUAAUAUAUUAUGAGAUGUUUUAUUGUUCAAGUGUAGUAUAUAUUUAUAAUAUUUUCACUAUUCAGUAUUUUUAUAGCUAAUUUGUAUUCAUCCAUGUGACUUAUAAAGGUUAAAAGAAAUUAACUUUGUUAUUUGUGUAUCUCUAAAUUCUUUAUUCAAUUAUUCUAAUGAUCUUCCAUCUAACAUGCAUUUCUCUAUGUAGUUUUUGAAACUGCUCAGAAGCAAAAUGCUUAAUAUCAAAUGUCCAGUUAAAUUAAUUUUAAAAAAAUCAUUUAACUGAUUUUAAAAUCAAUUGACUGAUCUUGUAUUAGAUAAAGAAAUAAAGCUGAUAUCAUCA